CCCUUAGAUGUUCUGGGCCGCACGCGUGCUACACUGAGUAAAUCAAUGGGUAAGGGAACACGAAAGUGCAACCUAAUCUUCAAAUUUGCUCGUGAUGGGGAUCGACGGUUGCAAUUUUCCGUCGUGAACGAGGAAUACCUUGUAGGCGCGUGUCAUCAUCACGCGCCGAAUACGUCCCUGCCCUUUGUACACACCGCCCGUCGCACCUACCGAUUGGAUGGUCCGGUGAAGCCUCGGGAUUGUGGUUCUUGCCGCUUUAUUGUGGCGUGACCGCGAGAACUUGUCUAAACCUUAUCAUCUAGAGGAAGGUGAAGUCGUAACA
rnacentral:rRNA from 1 species